CACGCGCAUCUACGCUUGAGUUGUUGAUUUCGCAGCAUUAGCAGGGCUGUGUAAGUGAUGUUGUCGAUUUUGCGGCUGUACGUAAUCAUGCCGUCGUUCCCGCUGCGUUUUUGCCCCCCGUGCUACUGCAUGUGUUCGUGUUUGAGUUUUCACCAAUCCCCUGUGUGUUUGCCCAUUGAUUCGCUGAUGCUUGGGUUUAGUCAUGGGUUUAGAUGUUGAGGCCCGCCGCUGUAUGUAUCUGCUUUAAUAGUCAUAUAUGUUGGUAAGAAAUUUUUAGUUCCCAUGGUUUGUAGUUGCAUUCAAGGGGUGGUUAAGCAAUUCUACCUGAAUGUUUUGCUUGCAACUUACUGCGUCCAGCGUAGGAUUAGGACUUGCUUUCUCUGGUUAUUCUGUUAAGCUUUUUUUUUUGUAUAUUAGGACUAGUGUGUUUAGUUCAUGGCAGGAGGGGUUGACUGAUGAAUGAUUUCAGUGAUUCUAAAAGUUGCUUUUCUGCUCGGGACUAGUGUUCCCCAAUUUUUGAUAGGUUCAAUGAUUACAGAGCUCCUAACAAGUUGCUUUUCCUGGGUGUCAGGCUGGUUU
rnacentral:lncRNA from 1 species